GAUGAACGCUGGCGGCGUGCCUAAUACAUGCAAGUCGAGCGAACAGACGAGGAGCUUGCUCCUCUGACGUUAGCGGCGGACGGGUGAGUAACACGUGGAUAACCUACCUAUAAGACUGGGAUAACUUCGGGAAACCGGAGCUAAUACCGGAUAAUAUAUUGAACCGCAUGGUUCAAUAGUGAAAGACGGUUUUGCUGUCACUUAUAGAUGGAUCCGCGCCGCAUUAGCUAGUUGGUAAGGUAACGGCUUACCAAGGCGACGAUGCGUAGCCGACCUGAGAGGGUGAUCGGCCACACUGGAACUGAGACACGGUCCAGACUCCUACGGGAGGCAGCAGUAGGGAAUCUUCCGCAAUGGGCGAAAGCCUGACGGAGCAACGCCGCGUGAGUGAUGAAGGUCUUCGGAUCGUAAAACUCUGUUAUUAGGGAAGAACAAAUGUAUAAGUAACUAUGCACGUCUUGACGGUACCUAAUCAGAAAGCCACGGCUAACUACGUG
rnacentral:rRNA from 1 species